CCUACGGGAGGCAGCAGUGGGGAAUAUUGGGCAAUGGGCGCAAGCCUGACCCAGCAACGCCGCGUGAAGGAAGAAGGCUUUCGGGUUGUAAACUUCUUUUCUGAGGGACGAAGAAAGUGACGGUACCUCAGGAAUAAGCCACGGCUAACUACGUGCCAGCAGCCGCGGUAAUACGUAGGUGGCAAGCGUUAUCCGGAUUUAUUGGGUGUAAAGGGCGUGUAGGCGGGAAAGCAAGUCAGAUGUGAAAACUCAGGGCUCAACCCUGAGCCUGCAUUUGAAACUGUUUUUCUUGAGUGCUGGAGAGGCAAUCGGAAUUCCGUGUGUAGCGGUGAAAUGCGUAGAUAUACGGAGGAACACCAGUGGCGAAGGCGGCAAUCUGGCUGGAAACUGACGCUGAGGUGCGAAAGCGUGGGUAGCAAACAGGAUUAGAUACCCGAGUAGUC
rnacentral:rRNA from 1 species